GACGAACGCUGGCGGCGUGCUUAACACAUGCAAGUCGAACGGAAAGGCCUGCUUUCCCUUGUGGAUUGCGGGUACUCGAGUGGCGAACGGGUGAGUAACACGUGAGUGAUCUGCCCCCAACUUGGGUAUAAGCCUGGGAAACUGGGUCUAAUUCCCGAUAGGACUGCAGGGUGGUGCCUGUGGUGGAAAACGAUUUUCUAGUGGUUGGGGAUGAGCUCGCGGCCUAUCAGCUUGUUGGUGGGGUAAUGGCCUACCAAGGCGGCGACGGGGAGCCGGCCUGAGAGGGUGGACGGCCACAUUGGGACUGAGAUACGGCCCAGACGCCUACGGGAGGCAGCAGUGGGGAAUAUUGCACACUGGGCGGAAGCCUGAUGCAGCGACGCCGCGUGGGGGAUGACGGCCUUCGGGUUGUAAACUCCUUUCGACCGCGAGGAAGCCACCUGGUUGGAAGGGUGGUGACGGUAGUGGUAGAAGAAGCACCGGCUAACUACGUG
rnacentral:rRNA from 1 species